UAGAGUUUGAUCCUGGCUCANANUCNACGCUGGCGGCGUGCCUCAGACAUGCAAGUCGAACGCGAAAGCCCCCUUCGGGGGGCAAGUAGAGUGGCGCACGGGUGAGUAACACGUAGGUAAUCUACCUUUGGAUGGGGAAUAACCACCGGAAACGGUGGCUAAUACCGCAUAAUGCAGCGGCACCUAAUGGUGACAGUUGUUAAAGCGGGGGAUCGUAAGACCUCGCGUCUGAAGAGGAGCCUGCGGCAGAUUAGCUAGUUGGUAAGGUAACGGCUUACCAAGGCGAUGAUCUGUAGCCGGCCUGAGAGGGCGGUCGGCCACACUGACACUGACAUACGGGUCAGACUCCUACGGGAGGCAGCAGUCGGGAAUUUUGGGCAAUGGGCGAAAGCCUGACCCAGCAACGCCGCGUGAAGGAUGAAAUCCCUCGGGAUGUAACUUCGCAAGAACAGGAAGAAUAAGUGAGAGCUAACAUCUCUUACGAUGACGGUACUGUUUGUAAGCUCCGGCUAACUCCGUGCCAGCAGCCGCGGUAAUACGGGGGGAGCAAGCGUUGUUCGGAUUUACUGGGCGUAAAGGGCGCGUAGGCGGCCACCGCAAGUCGACUGUGAAAUCUCCGGGCUUAACUCGGAAAGGUCAGCCGAUACUGCGGGGCUAGAGUGCAGAAGGGGCAACUGGAAUUCUCGGUGUAGCGGUGAAAUGCGUAGAUAUCGAGAGGAACACCUGCGGCGAANGCGGGUUGCUGGGCUGACACUGACGCUGANGCGCGAAAGCUAGGGGAGCGAACGGGAUUAGAUACCCCGGUAGUCCUAGCCUUAAACGAUGAAUGCUUGGUGUCUGGGGUUUUAUAGUCCCCGGGNGCCGUCGCUAACGCUUUNAGCAUUNCGCCUGGGGAGUANGGUCGCANACUGANNUCNANNGNANUGANGGGGACCCG
rnacentral:rRNA from 1 species